GACGAACACUGGCGGCGUGCCUAAUACAUGCAAGUUGAGCGAUGAAGAUUGGUGCUUGCCCCAAUUUGAAGAGCAGCGAACGGGUGAGUAACGCGUGGGGAAUCUGCCUUUGAGCGGGGGACAACAUUUGGAAACGAAUGCUAAUACCGCAUAACAACUUUAAACAUAAGUUUUAAGUUUGAAAGAUGCAAUUGCAUCACUCAAAGAUGAUCCCGCGUUGUAUUAGCUAGUUGGUGAGGUAAAGGCUCACCAAGGCGAUGAUACAUAGCCGACCUGAGAGGGUGAUCGGCCACAUUGGGACUGAGACACGGCCCAAACUCCUACGGGAGGCAGCAGUAGGGAAUCUUCGGCAAUGGACGAAAGUCUGACCGAGCAACGCCGCGUGAGUGAAGAAGGGUUUCGGAUCGUAAAACUCUGUUGGUAGAGAAGAACGUUGGUGAGAGUGGAAAGCUCAUCAAGUGACGGUAACUACCCAGAAAGGGACGGCUAACUACGUG
rnacentral:rRNA from 1 species